UUGUAGGCUGCGUUAGGGAUUGCAGUGAAAAUCCUUUUUAUGAAGAAUGAAUAAAAAGAUUGUAGCGUAAAGCCCGACCUGAA
rnacentral:sRNA from 1 species